rnacentral:misc_RNA from 1 species
UGCCCGGGCAGCGACGGCGUCUCGAUCAAGCCCCUUCAGUUGUUGGCUCAAGCGCCCCGCGCCUUGGCCGACGUCGGUUUCCCGUGCUGAAUUCCUAACGGAUGGCAAUCUCUAGUCCACCAACGUCCCGUACUCCUCCCCUCGUCGCGCCUCCGCCAGGAGACGCGGCGCGGGGAGGACAUCAAGGCCCACGUCGUAUCUCGCAACCCACGCGCCCGCUCGCCCGGGCGC